rnacentral:rRNA from 1 species
AGUGGCAGACGGGUGAGUAAUGUAUAGGAAUCUACCUAGUAGUACGGAAUAAUUGUUGGAAACGGCAACUAAUACCGUAUACGCCCUACGGGGGAAAAAUUUAUUGCUAUUAGAUGAGCCUAUAUUAGAUUAGUUAGUUGGUGAGGUAAAGGCUUACCAAGACAAUGAUCUAUAGCUGAUCUGAGAGGAUGAUCAGCCACACUGGAACUGAGAUACGGUCCAGACUCCUACGGGAGGCAGCAGUGGGGAAUAUUGGACAAUGGGCGAAAGCCUGAUCCAGCCAUGCCGCAUGAGUGAAGAAGGCCUUCGGGUUGUAAAGCUCUUUUAGUGAGGAAGAUAAUGACGGUACUCACAGAAGAAGUCCUGGCUAACUCCGUGCCAGCAGCCGCGGUAAUACGGAGAGGGCUAGCGUUAUUCGGAAUCAUUGGGCGUAAAGGGCGCGUAGGCGGGUUAGUAAGUUAAAAGUGAAAUCCCAAGGCUCAACCUUGGAACCGCUUUUAAAACUGCUAGUCUAGAGAUUGAAAGAGGAUAGAGGAAUUCCUAGUGUAGAGAUGAAAUUCGUAAAUAUUAGGAGGAACACCAGUGGCGAAGGCGUCUAUCUGGUUCAAAUCUGACGCUGAGGCGCGAAGGCGUGGGGAGCAAACAGGAUUAGAUACCCUGGUAGUCCACGCUGUAAACGAUGAAUGUUAAAUAUGGGAAGUUUACUUUCUGUAUUAUAGCUAACGCGUUAAACAUUCCGCCNGGGGACUACGGUCGCAAGAUUAAAACUCAAAGGAAUUGACGGGGNNCCGCACAAGCGGUGGAGCAUGUGGUUUAAUUCGAUGCAAC